rnacentral:tRNA from 1 species
GGUUUGUGGCUCAGUGGUAGAGUGCUCACCUCACAUGUGUGAGGCACUGGGUUUGAUUCUCAGCACCA